rnacentral:rRNA from 1 species
GACGAACGCUGGCGGCGUGCUUAACACAUGCAAGUCGAACGGAAAGGCCUGCUUUCCCUUGUGGAUUGCGGGUACUCGAGUGGCGAACGGGUGAGUAACACGUGAGUGAUCUGCCCCCAACUUGGGUAUAAGCCUGGGAAACUGGGUCUAAUUCCCGAUAGGACUGCAGGGUGGUGCCUGUGGUGGAAAACGAUUUUCUAGUGGUUGGGGAUGAGCUCGCGGCCUAUCAGCUUGUUGGUGGGGUAAUGGCCUACCAAGGCGGCGACGGGUAGCCGGCCUGGGAGGGUGGACGGCCACAUUGGGACUGAGAUACGGCCCAGACUCCUACGGGAGGCAGCAGUGGGGAAUAUUGCACAAUGGGCGGAGGCCUGAUGCAGCGACGCCGCGUGGGGGAUGACGGCCUUCGGGUUGUAAACUCCUUUCGACCGCGAGGAAGCCACCUGGUUGGAAGGGUGGUGACGGUAGUGGUAGAAGAAGCACCGGCUAACUACGUG